AAAUUUCCAAGGGUGGCUGUGAAACUUACUUUCGUGGUAGUGGUGGACCCUUGAAGCGUUUUUGGAAAGUAGAUGAAAGAGGGAGAUGUUUACUAAUUCUGUUAUUUUUAUUCAGUGGGUGGUGCUUGAGUGGGUAUAAUUUCCUCUCUAACAUUCUGUCAUGUUCCAUGUAACUUAGAUAAAGCACACUCUGGCAUAUAGGAAUUUCCCUACUUGCUUACCUUGGGAUGUGGAGUGUGUGUGGCUUUGUCAGACUCGGCUGAUGUAAUGAAAAAUGGAAUUAAAAAACGUGACUGAGAGUCCUACUAAAGUCUGAGCUCUCUGGUUUAAAAAAAAACCAACGCAGCUGUAUUGCUAUGUCUCACUUACCAUAUACAGUUCACCCAUUUAAAGUGUACAAUUCUUUUUUUUUUUUUAACUGUUAGGUUGUGCAAGCAUCACAAUUUAAGUCCAAAACAUUCCCAUUCCUCAGUCUCUGAUUGUAGAAACAAAUGAUCUAUGACUAUUUCUUACCAUGAGUAUGCAGAUUAUUUGAUGCACAGCUUUUUAUUUUACCUUCUUUAUAGAUUUCCACCCA
rnacentral:lncRNA from 1 species